UACGAACCGUACAAACGUUAUUCGGAAUCACUGGGCUUAAAGGGUGCGUAGGCGGCCAUGUAAGUGAGGUGUGAAAUCCCUCGGCUCAACCGAGGAACUGCGCUUCAUACUGCAUGGCUUGAGGGAGACAGGGGUAAGCGGAACUGAUGGUGGAGCGGUGAAAUGCGUUGAUAUCAUCAGGAACACCGGGUGGCGAAAGCGGCUUACUGGG
rnacentral:rRNA from 1 species